rnacentral:rRNA from 1 species
UACGGAGGGGGCGAGCGUUGUUCGGAAUCACUGGGUGUAAAGGGUGCGUAGGCGGUCCGUUAAGUCUGAUGUGAAAUCCCUGGGCUCAACUCAGGAACUGCAUUGGAAACUGGCAGGCUGGAGUACCGGAGAGGGAAGCGGAAUUCCUGGUGUAGCGGUGAAAUGCGUAGAUACCAGGAGGAACACCGGUGGCGAAGGCGGCUUCCUGGCCGAGUACUGACGCUGAGGUGCGAAAGCGUGGGGAGCAAACAGG